GUUUUAAUAAUUUAAUAAAAAUAUUGGUCUUGUAAAUCAAAAAUAAGGAAAUAACCUUUUAAAGCU
rnacentral:tRNA from 1 species